UACGGAGGGUGCGAGCGUUGUCCGGAAUCACUGGGCGUAAAGGGCGCGUAGGCGGCCUGAUAAGUAGGGGGUGAAAUCUUGCGGCUUAACCGCAAGGCUGCCUUCUAAACUGUCAGGCUAGAGCACAGUAGAGGCAGGUGGAAUUCCCGGUGUUGCGGUGGAAUGCGUAGAGAUCGGGAAGAACAUCAGUGGCGAAGGCGGCCUGCUGGGCUGUUGCUGACGCUGAGGCGCGAAAGCCAGGGGAGCAAACGGG
rnacentral:rRNA from 1 species